rnacentral:rRNA from 1 species
UACGAAGGGGGCUAGCGUUGCUCGGAAUCACUGGGCGUAAAGGGUGCGUAGGCGGGUCUUUUAAGUCAGGGGUGAAAUCCUGGAGCUCAACUCCAGAACUGCCUUUGAUACUGAAGAUCUUGAGUUCGGGAGAGGUGAGUGGAACUGCGAGUGUAGAGGUGAAAUUCGUAGAUAUUCGCAAGAACACCAGUGGCGAAGGCGGCUCACUGGCCCGAUACUGACGCUGAUGGGCGAAAGCUAGGGUAGCAAACAGG